rnacentral:lncRNA from 1 species
UCCAAACACUACGUAUAGCCGAAAGAGGAAAAGCAGUCGGCGACAAUUGCGACUUCUCUGAAGGUCCCCAUGAGUUCUAGAAUACAUAUGCAAAAAGAAUAUUUUAAUUAGGACCCAAAUCAAAGAAAUUAACUUACAAACUACACACAAAAUCUAAAUUAUAAAAUCUAAUGCAAAAGGAGAAAGAGGACUUACAUCUUGAUUUCAACAAAGAGUGUUUUAUCCUUCUUCAAAAUAUACGGAUUCUACCAAAUUUUUGUUAAUUCAAAAUAUAUCGAUUCUACCAAAUACAUCGGUUCUACAAAUAAAUAGAGAAAAUAAAUUUAAAAUUCACAUGCAUGAAGAAAGAAAAAAAAAGCAAAAUUAAAGCAAAAUCGAAGAGGAAUUUGUAUGAAAAAGCAAAAUCAAGUAAACUUACAUCCUAUUGAUUGAUAGAUAAGAAAUUUUCUUGCAUCUCUUUCAUUUUGCAAUAGAGGAGGCGCUGAAGAAAGAGGAGGCGCUAAAGAAAAGCAGAGAGCUAUUAUAUGUGGAAUAUUGCAACUACACUUGUAUCGGAGCUAUUGAAAUCAGAGGAAAUGAAGAAGAAAUGGAAGAAAUUAAGUGAAGAAGAAAUGAAAGAGAUUAACUGAAGGAAAAGAGAUUAAGUGAAGGAAGAGAUUAGUCACGGUUUUGAUUAACUCAAGAAGAAAUGAAAUAUUGCAAUGGAUUUUGAUUAAGU